rnacentral:rRNA from 1 species
GAUCAUGGCUCAGGAUGAACGCUAGCGACAGGCUUAACACAUGCAAGUCGAGGGGCAGCGGGGAGUAGCAAUACUUCGCCGGCGACCGGCGCACGGGUGAGUAACACGUGUGCAACCAACCCCGUACCGGGAGAUAACCCGCGGAAACGUGGACUAACAUCCCAUAACACUCUAGAGCCGCAUGGCUCUGGAUUUAAAAUUCCGGUUGUACGGGACGGGCACGCGCGACAUUAGGUAGUUGGCGGGGUAACGGCCC